AGCGAACGCUGGCGGCAGGCCUAAAACAUGCAAGUCGAACGGAUCCUUCGGGAUUAGUGGCGGACGGGUGAGUAACACGUGGGAACGUGCCUUUUGGUUCGGAACAACUCAGGGAAACUUGAGCUAAUACCGGAUGUGCCCUUCGGGGAAGGAUUUAUCGCCAUUAGAGCGGCCCGCGUCUGAUUAGCUAGUUGGUGAGGUAAAGGCUCACCAAGGCGACGAUCAGUAGCUGGUCUGAGAGGAUGAUCAGCCACACUGGGACUGAGACACGGCCCAGACUCCUACGGGAGGCAGCAGUUAGGAAUCUUGCGCAAUGGGGGAAACCCUGACGCAGCCAUGCCGCGUGAAUGAUGAAGGUCUUGGGAUUGUAAAAUUCUUUCAGCGGGGACGAUAAUGACGGUACCCGCAGAAGAAGCCCCGGCUAACUUCGUGCCAGCAGCCGCGGU
rnacentral:rRNA from 1 species